UACGUAGGGGGCAAGCGUUGUCCGGAUUUAUUGGGCGUAAAGAGCGUGUAGGCGGUUUGGUAGGUCCGUUGUGAAAACUCGAGGCUCAACCUCGAGACGCCGAUGGAAACCAUCAGACUAGAGUCCGGAAGAGGAGAGUGGAAUCCCUGGUGUAGCGGUGAAAUGCGCAGAUAUCGGGAAGAACACCCGUGGCGAAGGCGGCUCUCUGGGACGGUACUGACGCUGAGACGCGAAAGCGUGGGGAGCGAACAGG
rnacentral:rRNA from 1 species